AUUUGGUCACAAAACGCCCUUUGCGGCUUUUCGCCUUGGCCUCUCAUUUUUCUUUUUCUUUUCAUUUUUUAUAUAUUUUGACUUUGAUUUUUCUUUUUUAUUUAUUUUUUAUUUCGUCUUGUUCUUUUUUCUUUUCUUUCUUGCUUUUUUUUGUGAAAUUGAAUCUGAACUUAUAGGAUUAGGGAAGUCAUUGUUAUCCUUUUUUAUCAUAACCAAUGUUUUUUCGAUAAAGUCUCCCAUAUAAGAUCUUCCACUUUCAUAUUAUAAGCGAAAAAUCUUCUUUGGUACUAGAUUUCUUUCAUAGAGCCUUUUGGGGCGAAAUUUAACUAUGAUGACAAAACUUUGGAUCGUCCUCUUUAAUUAGGAUAAAAUCCAAUAAAAGUGCAGAGC
rnacentral:lncRNA from 1 species